rnacentral:rRNA from 1 species
GUCUUUUUGAAGUUAAUAUAAAGUCUAACCUGCCCACUGAAAAUUUAAAUGGCCGCAGUAUUUUAACUGUGCAAAGGUAGCAUAAUCAUUAGUCUUUUAAUUGAAGGCUGGUAUGAAUGGUUGAAUGAGAUAUUAACUGUUUCGAUAUAAUUUUUAGAACUUUAUAUUUUAGUGAAAAAGCUAAAAUAUUUUUAAAAGACGAGAAGACCCUAUAAAUCUUUAUAAUUUUAAGUUUAUAAUUAUUUAGAAAAUUUUAUUAAUAAACUAAAAAAUUAUUUUAUUGGGGUGAUAUUAAAAUUUAAAUAACUUUUAAUGUUUAAUUAACACUAUUUAGUGAAUUUAUGAUCCAUAAUUAAUGAUUAAAAUAUUAAGUUACUUUAGGGAUAACAGCGUAAUUUUUUUGGAGAGUUCUUAUUAAUAAAAAAGAUUGCGACCUCGAUGUUGGAUUAAGAUAUAAAUUUAGGUGUAGUGGCUUAGAUUUUGAGUCUGUUCGACUUAUAAUUUCUUACAU